UACGAAGGUCCCGAGCGUUAUCCGGAUUUAUUGGGUUUAAAGGGUGCGUAGGCGGGUUAUUAAGUCAGUGGUGAAAGCCUUCAGCUUAACUGAAGAGCUGCCAUUGAUACUGAUGAUCUUGAGUAUGAUUGAGGUGGGCGGAAUGUGUCAUGUAGCGGUGAAAUGCUUAGAUAUGACACAGAACACCGAUUGCGAAGGCAGCUCACUAAGCCAUAACUGACGCUGAUGCACGAAAGCGUGGGGAGCAAACAGG
rnacentral:rRNA from 1 species